rnacentral:rRNA from 1 species
AUGGGGGCGGGGGCGGAUCCGGACGCGGACGACGAGAACCCGUGGGAGCUGUUCCGGCACUACGACGAGCUCUACUUCCGCGGCGCGCUCGCCGACGCCGGCUUCUCCGUCGAGCGGGCCGCCCCGCGCACCAAGACGAUCACUUCUUUCGGAUACUGUUCCCUUGGAGACCUGAGCAAAAUAACACUCUACAAGCCAAUGCCGCGAUAUCGCACAAAUGCCAAUCUGAAGAACGCCCUGCUGCAUCUCAUGAUUCAUGGAAUCGUAUUUGUAAAGCGUGGUCUGACGAGCCUCGGCCAUGGUCCUGCAUUCCGUGAUUGGAUGGAUGCGAUCAACACUAGCUCCGUCGACGAUUACGCGAGACCGAUAAGUGGCUACUGUAUCACCACUACCCAUGAUUUCAGUCAGGAAAAAUCCUGCAACAUCCAGGGCUCUAUGUGGAAGUGUGACAAGUGUGGCAAUACACUUGUGAGGGCCAAGAGCCUGGGACCUCCAUCUGAUUCCUGCUGUAUCGAGAAUGUUAGCGAAGAUCCAACCUGUGGCAACAAGCUUUGUCACUGGCACAACCACAAGAAGGGUUGUCGUGGUAAAUACGUGGUGACCAAACCAGCAGUGACACCAGGACAAAAGAUGGCUCCAAAAGGUACGCUGCGGCUUCGGACUGAAACAACCAAAAUGCCCAAGUCACAACAAGGAGCUGUACAGCAGUCGUAUCCAGAUUCAGACGAAGUGCGGGAGAGUAGCUCCUUGAAGAAGGCACGCAAGAGAAAUAUGCCUGAAGACUUUCAGAAAGCAAUUGUUUUGUCCGCUGCCCCUCGGAGAAAGCCGAAGCAAGAGCUUCUCGCAUGGGCGAAGCGCGAGCAUUUGCUCAGCAGCAAUGCAAAAUCACCGGGCAGCAGCCCCUCAAAGAAGGCAGAUGACUCUCAGAAGGCAAUUGUUCUCUCUGCCGCCCCUCGGAGCAGACGGCUGAAACGGAAGCAAGCAUCGGUUACGUCGGAGGAGCAGGGGUUUUUCUCUCCAGGGAGGAGUUGCAACGACGCAAACUCGCCGAGAAGCAACACCUCCAGGAAGGACGUUCAGAGAUCCAGUGUGCAGCCUUGUGCAUCUCAGAAGAAACUAAAGCUAGGGCAAGGCCUGGCCGCGUUGGAGAAGCACAUUUCCCGGCCUGCUGCCACUCAAAGCACGGUCAAGCAGCCGACCAAGACCAGCUCCUCGAUGAAGACACGGAGGCAGCAUCGGCCUGAAGACUCUCCGAGAAUAACCGUUCAGCCUGCCGCCCCUCUGACCCGGAGCAAACGGAAGCAAUCGAACCGGGCUGCGCCGGAGAGGCAGGCGGCGAGAAGCGAAGCUAGGGGCUCUGCCGAGGAGAAAGAGUACGUUUGCUUCAGCCUGUGGCAGAACUUCUACGAAUCGGAGUGCUCUAGUGGAUCGGCCGAGCCGCUCGUGAACAAAAGAACAGUGCGGAGGAGAAGGGAGAGGGAACGCUUGGUUCAGAUAGCACGUUCGCGCUCCAUCGAGGCCCGGCCGGAUCCGGAUGAGGAGGUCUCGUCUGGACAAACCGAGCCACCGGCUCUGCACUUGGAGGUCAUUGCUAUCGAUGACGAGGUGAUGGCUGAAGCUCCAUCCAUGGAUGUUCUUGCCCCUCCCGCUGAUCAGGCGGUGGCUGAAGCUCCUGGAGCUGGAGGUCAGUCCCAGCCACCAGCUCCAUCCAUGGACAUUGCUGCUGUCGCUUCUGCUGGCCUCUACAAGCAUGGACAUUGCUGCUGCUGUCGCUCCUGCUGA